UAGAGUUUGAUCMUGGCUCAGGAUGAACGCUGGCGGCGUGCCUAAUACAUGCAAGUCGAACGCACAGCGAAAGGUGCUUGCACCUUUCAAGUGAGUGGCGAACGGGUGAGUAACACGUGGACAACCUGCCUCAAGGCUGGGGAUAACAUUUGGAAACAGAUGCUAAUACCGAAUGAAACUUAGUGUCGCAUGAUACGAAGUUAAAAGGCGCUUUGGCGUCACCUAGAGAUGGAUCCGCGGUGCAUUAGUUAGUUGGUGGGGUAAAGGCCUACCAAGACAAUGAUGCAUAGCCGAGUUGAGAGACUGAUCGGCCACAUUGGGACUGAGACACGGCCCAAACUCCUACGGGAGGCUGCAGUAGGGAAUCUUCCACAAUGGGCGAAAGCCUGAUGGAGCAACGCCGCGUGUGUGAUGAAGGCUUUCGGGUCGUAAAGCACUGUUGUAUGGGAAGAACAGCUAGAAUAGGGAAUGAUUUUAGUUUGACGGUACCAUACCAGAAAGGGACGGCUAAAUACGUGCCAGCAGCCGCGGUAAUACGUAUGUCCCGAGCGUUAUCCGGAUUUAUUGGGCGUAAAGCGAGCGCAGACGGUUGAUUAAGUCUGAUGUGAAAGCCCGGAGCUCAACUCCGGAAUGGCAUUGGAAACUGGUUAACUUGAGUGCAGUAGAGGUAAGUGGAACUCCAUGUGUAGCGGUGGAAUGCGUAGAUAUAUGGAAGAACACCAGUGGCGAAGGCGGCUUACUGGACUGUAACKACKUGAGGUCGAAAGU
rnacentral:rRNA from 1 species